rnacentral:rRNA from 1 species
ACGUAGGGUGCGAGCGUUAAUCGGAAUUACUGGGCGUAAAGCGUGCGCAGGCGGUUUUUUAAGACAGGCGUGAAAUCCCCGGGCUCAACCUGGGAACUGCGCUUGUGACUGGAAGGCUAGAGUAUGGCAGAGGGGGGUGGAAUUCCACGUGUAGCAGUGAAAUGCGUAGAGAUGUGGAGGAACACCGAUGGCGAAGGCAGCCCCCUGGGCCAAUACUGACGCUCAUGCACGAAAGCGUGGGGAGCAAACAG